rnacentral:rRNA from 1 species
UACGUAGGGUGCAAGCGUUGUCCGGAAUCAUUGGGCGUAAAGAGCUCGUAGGCGGUCUGUCGCGUCUCCUGUGAAAACUCGGGGCUUAACCUCGGGCCUGCAGUGGGUACGGGCAGACUAGAGUGCGGUAGGGGAGACUGGAAUUCCUGGUGUAGCGGUGAAAUGCGCAGAUAUCAGGAGGAACACCGGUGGCGAAGGCGGGUCUCUGGGCCGUAACUGACGCUGAGGAGCGAAAGCGUGGGGAGCGAACAGG